rnacentral:rRNA from 1 species
GAUGAACGCUGGCGGCGUGCCUAAUACAUGCAAGUCGAACGAAACUUCUUUAUCACCGAGUGCUUGCACUCACCGAUAAAGAGUUGAGUGGCGAACGGGUGAGUAACACGUGGGCAACCUGCCCAAAAGAGGGGGAUAACACUUGGAAACAGGUGCUAAUACCGCAUAACCAUAGUUACCGCAUGGUAACUAUGUAAAAGGUGGCUAUACUACCGCUUUUGGAUGGGCCCGCGGCGCAUUAGCUAGUUGGUAGGGUAAAGGCUUACCAAGGCAAUGAUGCGUAGCCGAAUUGAGAGGUUGAUCGGCCACAUUGGGACUGAGACACGGCCCAAACUCCUACGGGAGGCAGCAGUAGGGAAUCUUCCACAAUGGGCGAAAGCCUGAUGGAGCAACGCCGCGUGGGUGAAGAAGGUCUUCGGAUCGUAAAACCCUGUUGUUAGAGAAGAAAGUGAGUGAGAGUAACUGUUCACGUUUCGACGGUAUCUAACCAGAAAGCCACGGCUAACUACGUG